GCAGGCNGAAAUUCGCCUGCAUGAAGCCGGAAUUGCUAGUAAUGGCAGGUCAGCAUACUGCCGUGAAUACGUUCCCGGGCCCUUGUACACACCGCCCGUCACACCAUGAGAGUUGGGAAUACCCGAAGCCUGUGAGCUAACAAGUUUACUUGAGGCAGCAGUCGAAGGUAGAAUCAAUGAUUGGGGUGAAGUCGUAACAAGGUACC
rnacentral:rRNA from 1 species